GUGAUCGUAUCUGCACUAAUGCACCGUAUCCCAUAAAAACUCCGUAAUUAAGCGUGCUUGGGCGAGAGUAGUACAAGAAUGGGUGAUGAGCAGAUAAUAUUGCAUAUUU